rnacentral:lncRNA from 10 species
CCGCUCCCGCUUCUCCCACCACACUUCCCUGCAAGCUGAGAGAAGCGGCUCUGGCCUUGGGCAGCCCAGAAAGGGGCUCCCUCAGUGCAGCGGUGGGCUGAAGGGCUCCUCAAGUGCCGCCAAAGUGGGAGCCCAGGCAGAGGAGGCGCCCAGAGCGAGCGAGGGCUGUGAGGACUGCCAGCACGCUGUCACCUCUCAGAACUAUUUACUCAGAAUGAGUGAAGAGACAGUCUUGCUCUGUUGCCCAGGCCGGAGUGGAGUGGCACAGUCAUAAUUCCCUGUACCCUUGAAAUCCUGAGCUCAAGCCAUCUCCAUACCUUAGCCUCCCAAGUGGCUACUACAGGACUGACUGAUAGUAUUUUCCUUUGGAAGAUCCUUUUAUAUUCUGUCUCUAUGAAAGAAGUGUUUUCAAUGAAAUAAGGGGAGUUUUCCUGCAUCAGCUCUCUUCUCUUGUCUGCCACCAUGUGAGAUGUGCCUUUCACCUUCCACCAUCAUUGUGAGGCC